GAUCAGUGGCUCGAGGACGAACGCUGGCGGCGUGCCUAACACAUGCAAGUCGAACGGAGAACUUAAGGAUAGAGACUUCGGUCAAUUGAGAUUUGUUCUUAGUGGCGGACGGGCGAGUAACGCGUGAGCAACCUGCCCUUCAGAGGGGAACAACAGUUGGAAACGACUGCUAAUACCGCAUAAUGUAUAACCGAGGCAUCUCGGAUAUACCAAAGGAGCAAUCCGCUGUAAGAUGGACUCGCGUCCAAUUAGAUAGUUGGUGGGGUAACGGCCCACCAAGUCGACGAUUGGUAGCCGGACUGAGAGGUUGAACGGCCACAUUGGGACUGAGAUACGGCCCAGACUCCUACGGGAGGCAGCAGUCGGGAAUAUUGCGCAAUGGAGGAAACUCUGACGCAGUGACGCCGCGUAUAGGAAGAAGUUUUUCGGAAUGUAAACUAUUGUCGUUAGGGAAGAGAAAGGACGGUACCUAAGGAGGAAGCCCCGGCUAACUAUGUG
rnacentral:rRNA from 1 species